GAUGAACGCUGGCGGCGUGCUUAACACAUGCAAGUCGAACGAAGCAUUUAAGACAGAUUACUUCGGUUUGAAGUCUUUUAUGACUGAGUGGCGGACGGGUGAGUAACGCGUGGGUAACCUGCCUCAUACAGGGGGAUAGCAGCUGGAAACGGCUGGUAAUACCGCAUAAGCGCACAGUACCACAUGGUACAGUGUGAAAAACUCCGGUGGUAUGAGAUGGACCCGCGUCUGAUUAGCUUGUUGGCGGGGUAACGGCCCACCAAGGCGACGAUCAGUAGCCGACCUGAGAGGGUGACCGGCCACAUUGGGACUGAGACACGGCCCAGACUCCUACGGGAGGCAGCAGUGGGGAAUAUUGCACAAUGGAGGAAACUCUGAUGCAGCGACGCCGCGUGAGUGAAGAAGUAGUUCGCUAUGUAAAGCCCUAUCAGCAGGGAAGAUAGUGACGGUACCCGACUAAGAAGCUCCGGCUAAAUACGUG
rnacentral:rRNA from 1 species